CUGCAUUCUAAACCCUCCUGGCAGCUCUGCCCUUGGCUGCCAGGGUAAGGAUGAAUGCCAGAGAAAACUGUUGAUUAAUCCAAAGCGCAGAGCUCUUUCCCCUGUGGCUCUUCGUUAUUUCACGUCUUCAACAUUGAUUU
rnacentral:snoRNA from 1 species